GACGAACGCUGGCGGCGUGCCUAAUACAUGCAAGUAGGACGCAGUUGCGAACGGGUGAGUAACGCGUAGGUAACUGCCUAUUAGAGGGGGAUAACUAUUGGAAACGAUAGCUAAUACCGCAUACUAGUAGAUGGACCUGCGUUGUAUUAGCUAGUAGGUAGGGUAAUGGCCUACCUAGGCAACGAUACAUAGCCGACUUGAGUGUGUGAGCGGCCACACUGGGGAUGAGAAAAGGCCCAGACUCCUACGGGAGGCAGCAGGAGGGAAUCUUCGGCAAUUGGUGGAACCCUGACCGAGCAAAGCCGCGUGAGUGAAGAAGGUUUUCGGAUCGUAAAGCUCUGUUGUUAAGGAAGCGGUACUUAACCAGAAAGGGACGGCUAACUACGUGCCAGCAGCCGCGGUAAUAC
rnacentral:rRNA from 1 species